rnacentral:rRNA from 1 species
GAUGAACGCUGGCGGCGUGCCUAAUACAUGCAAGUCGAGCGAACAGAUGAGGAGCUUGCUCCUCUGACGUUAGCGGCGGACGGGUGAGUAACACGUGGAUAACCUACCUAUAAGACUGGGAUAACUUCGGGAAACCGGAGCUACUACCGGAUAAUAUAUUGAACCGCAUGGUUCAAUAGUGAAGGACGGUUUUGCUGUCACUUAUAGAUGGAUCCGCGCCGCAUUAGCUAGUUGGUAAGGUAACGGCUUACCAAGGCAACGAUGCGUAGCCGACCUGAGAGGGUGAUCGGCCACACUGGAACUGAGACACGGUCCAGACUCCUACGGGAGGCAGCAGUAGGGAAUCUUCCGCAAUGGGCGAAAGCCUGACGGAGCAACGCCGCGUGAGUGAUGAAGGUCUUCGGAUCGUAAAACUCUGUUAUUAGGGAAGAACAAAUGUGUAAGUAACUAUGCACGUCUUGACGGUACCUAAUCAGAAAGCCACGGCUAACUACGUG